rnacentral:rRNA from 1 species
GGGGAAGGAGACUUCCUUAGUACCGCAGCUAACGCGUGAAGUUCGCCGCCUGGGGAGUACGGUCGCAAGAUUAAAACUCAAAGGAAUUGACGGGGACCCGCACAAGCGGUGGAUGAUGUGGAUUAAUUCGAUGCAACGCGAAAAACCUUACCUACCCUUGACAUGUACCGAAGCCUGGCGAGAGCCGGGUGUGCCCGAAAGGGAGCGGUAACACAGGUGCUGCAUGGCUGUCGUCAGCUCGUGUCGUGAGAUGUUGGGUUAAGUCCCGCAACGAGCGCAACCCUUGUCAUUAGUUGCUACAUUCAGUUGGGCACUCUAAUGAGACUGCCGGUGACAAACCGGAGGAAGGUGGGGAUGACGUCAAGUCCUCAUGGCCCUUAUGGGUAGGGCCUCACACGUCAUACAAUGGCCCC